rnacentral:rRNA from 1 species
UGAAACCGUUUAGGGGUAAACCUGAGAAACCCGAAAUGUCGAAGGAAGAAAUUCAUUCGCGUUUCAUGACUGACURUGAACGGUUGAGUGAGACGUCGGUGAACAUUCAUGUUUAUCGCGCCGCCUCUGUUUAUGGACCAACAGUUGUGAACGCGUGCACUUUUCUUCUGGUAGGACGUCGCGAUCCGUUGGGCGUCGGUCUACGGCCAGUGGUGGAGACCAGUUACAUGUUGUGUGCAUUCUUGUACAUUCAAACAAUAUGCGAUUGGACCCGCUGGUAUUUGCUGACCGACUCGCUCGACGGUAUACCAUAUGGUUUGAGGCCGCUUUCAAUAGCGUCCGACUCAUGGCAGUAUCGUUAGAUGUUUGUCAGUGAUUGGACCUAGUGCCGAUUCUGACCCCUAAUCGAUUGCUAGCCAUGAUGUUCUUGGACAGACCUCGACCUUAUACACACACACACAUACAAAAAUGUGUGUACUGUAUAAACCAAUCAGCGACGCUAUAGCUUUGGGUAAUUUCAGGACCCGUCUUGAAACACGGACCAAGGAGUCUAGCAUGUACGCAAGUCAUUGGGAUUAACACGAAACCUAAAGGCGUAAUGAAAGUAAAGAUCUUCCUUGUGGAGAUCAAGGGAAGAUGAAUAGCUGUUCCAUUCGGACACUGUUUCGCAUUCCCGGGGCAUCUCGUUCUCUCUAUGCRCGUAUUUUAUGAAUACGAACAAGAGAGGAGGUGCACCAAGAGCGUACACGCUGGGACCCGAAAGAUGGUGAACUAUGCCUGGUCAGGACGAA